GAUGAACGCUAGCGAUAGGCUUAACACAUGCAAGUCGAGGGGCAGCAUGGUCUUAGCUUGCUAAGACUGAUGGCGACCGGCGCACGGGUGCGUAACGCGUAUGCAACUUGCCUCACAGAGGGGGAUAACCCGUCGAAAGACGGACUAAUACCGCGUACACUCCAUCUUGGGCAUCCAAGGUAGAGGAAAUGAAAUUCGCUGUGAGAUAGGCAUGCGUCCCAUUAGCUAGUUGGUGAGGUAACGGCUCACCAAGGCGACGAUGGGUAGGGGAACUGAGAGGUUGAACCCCCACACUGGUACUGAGACACGGACCAGACUCCUACGGGAGGCAGCAGUGAGGAAUAUUGGUCAAUGGGCGAGAGCCUGAACCAGCCAAGUUGCGUGAAGGAUGACUGUCUUAUGGAUUGUAAACUUCUUUUAUACGGGAAUAACAAGAGUCACGUGUGACUCCCUGCACGUACCGUAUGAAUAAGCAUCGGCUAACUCCGUG
rnacentral:rRNA from 1 species